GGCGCUAAUGGUGCAGGGGUGAAAGCAUGUGACCAUGUGCAGAGGCUAUUGUCCUCAAAGGUCCUGGCUGUCCCAGGUUCGAGUCCUGGACCUGGUGACA